rnacentral:rRNA from 1 species
AUUGAACGCUGGCGGCAUGCCUUACACAUGCAAGUCGAACGGUAACAGGUCUUCGGAUGCUGACGAGUGGCGAACGGGUGAGUAAUACAUCGGAACGAGCCCGAGAGUGGGGGAUAACGAGGCGAAAGCUUUGCUAAUACCGCGUACGAUCUCAGGAUGAAAGCAGGGAACCGCAAGGCCUUGCGCUCACGGAGCGGCCGAUGGCAGAUUAGGUAGUUGGUGGGAUAAAAGCUUACCAAGCCGACGAUCUGUAGCUGGUCUGAGAGGACGACCAGCCACACUGGGACUGAGACACGGCCCAGACUCCUACGGGAGGCAGCAGUGGGGAAUUUUGGACAAUGGGCGCAAGCCUGAUCCAGCCAUGCCGCGUGCAGGAUGAAGGCCUUCGGGUUGUAAACUGCUUUUGUACGGAACGAAAAGACUCUAGUUAAUACCUGGGGUCCAUGACGGUACCGUAAGAAUAAGCACCGGCUAACUACGUGCCAGCAGCCGCGGUAACAC